UACGUAGGCAGCAAGCGUUGUUCGGAAUUACUGGGCGUAAAGAGUGUGUAGGCGGUGCUCCAAGUCUGGUGUGAAAUCUCCCGGCUUAACUGGGAGGGUGCAUUAGAAACUGGAAUGCUAGAGGAUGGGAGAGGUAAGCGGAAUUCCUGGUGUAGCGGUGAAAUGCGUAGAUAUCAGGAGGAACACCUGUGGCGAAAGCGGCUCACUGGACCAUAACUGACGCUGAUGCACGAAAGCUAGGGGAGCAAACAGG
rnacentral:rRNA from 1 species